rnacentral:rRNA from 1 species
AGCGAACGCUGGCGGCAGGCCUAACACAUGCAAGUCGAACGAAGUCUUCGGACUUAGUGGCGGACAGGUGAGUAACACGUGGGAACGUGCCUUUAGGUUCGGAAUAACUCAGGGAAACUUGUGCUAAUACCGAAUGUGCCCUUCGGGGGAAAGAUUUAUCGCCUUUAGAGCGGCCCGCGUCUGAUUAGCUAGUUGGUGAGGUAAAGGCUCACCAAGGCGACGAUCAGUAGCUGGUCUGAGAGGAUGAUCAGCCACAUUGGGACUGAGACACGGCCCAAACUCCUACGGGAGGCAGCAGUGGGGAAUCUUGCGCAAUGGGCGAAAGCCUGACGCAGCCGUGCCGCGUGAAUGAUGAAGGUCUUAGGAUUGUAAAAUUCUUUCACCGGGGACGAUAAUGACGGUACCCGGAGAAGAAGCCCCGGCUAACUUCGUGCCAGCCGCCGCGGUAACAC